UACCUCAAAACUAGCCCCACCCCGACCAAAAGCAAAGCGCAACUAUUAAUAAACCCUAAGACAUUAAAACCAACCACUAAAACAUUUUACAGCCCUAGUACGGGAGACAGAAAAGGAAAAAGGAGCUAUAGUGAAAGUACCGCAAGGGAAAGAUGAAAGAGAAAUGAAAAAAUUCAGACAGUGAAGAAAAGCAGAGAUUAACCCUCGUACCUUUUGCAUCAUGAUUUAGCAAGCAAGAUUCAAGCAAAGAGAGCUUAAGUUUGAAACCCCGAAACUGAGUGAGCUACUUCAAGUCAGCCAAACAUUUGGGCCAACCCGUAUCUGUGGCAAAAGAUUGGGAAGAACUUUGAGUAGAGGUGACAGACCUACCGAACUCAGUUAUAGCUGGUUGUCUGGGAAAUGGAUAGAAGUUCAGCCUGACUACCUCCCCCGACCACUAAUGAUCACUUCUAAAGAUUAUUGAGAAUAGUCAGAGUUAGUCAAAAGGGGUACAGCCCUUUUGACAGAAGACACAACUUUAUUAGAGCAGGUUAAAAAUCAAAAUAACCAAGGUUAACAGUGCCACAGUGGGCCUAAAAGCAGCCACCCAUAAAGAAAGCGUUAAAGCUCGAGCACUAGAACACCCUUUAUUACGAUAAGCACUUUUAAACCCCUCUGCCUACCAGACCCUUCCACAACCCGUGGAAAUGAUAAUGCUAAUAUGAGUAAUAAGAGAAAUAAAAACCUCUCCAAGCACAAGUGUAAUUCGGAACGAACUCACGCCGAAAACUAACGACCCCAAAUAAAAGAGGGAACUGUUAAACAAAUAAAAAUCAAGAAAAAUUACCUAUCAACAAUCGUUAAACCCACACUGGUGUGCUACUUAAGGAAAGACUAAAAGGAAGAGAAGGAACUCGGCAAACAUAUUUACUAGCCUCGCCUGUUUACCAAAAACACCGCCUCUUGCAAGAAAAAAUAUAAGAGGUCCCGCCUGCCCUGUGACCACGUGUUUAACGGCCGCGGUAUUUUGACCGUGCGAAGGUAGCGCAAUCACUUGUCUCUUAAAUAGAGACCCGUAUGAAUGGCAUAACGAGGGCUUAACUGUCUCCUCUCCCCAGUCAAUGAAAUUGAUCUCCCCGUGCAGAAGCGGGGCUAAAAACAUAAGACGAGAAGACCCUUUGGAGCUUUAGAUGACAGCAGACUUUAUGUUAAAACCCCAGACAAAAGGGCCAAACAAGUAACCAUCUGCCAACAUCUUCGGUUGGGGCGACCGCGGGGCAAAACACAACCCCCGUGAGGAUUGGGGUAAACCCUAAAACCAAGAACACCUGUUCUAAGUAGCAAAAAAUUUGACCUUAAGACCCGGCAUUGCCGAUCAACGAACCAAGUUACCCCAGGGAUAACAGCGCAAUCCCCUUUAAGAGUCCCUAUCGACAAGGGGGUUUACGACCUCGAUGUUGGAUCAGGACAUCCUAAUGGUGUAGCCGCUAUUAAGGGUUCGUUUGUUCAACGAUUAAAGUCCUACGUGAUCUGAGUUCAGACCGGAGUAAUCCAGGUCAGUUUCUAUCUAUGACAUGCUCUUCUCUAGUACGAAAGGACCGAGAAGGGGGGGCCCAUACUACAAGCAAGCCCCACAUUUAACCCAUGAAACCAUCUAAAUGGGAUAAUGAAGCAUAAACUAAAAUUGAAGAUAAAAACACAUAGGAGUAUAAAAAUGUAAAAAUACACCAAGAGGAGAUUAAACCCUCCCUCCUACACAUAAAGUUGUGCCCCAAGCACAUAUGCCUUUACCCCACAUAUAGCGGGGUAAAGGCAUAUGUGUGUAUGUGUGGCAGUUGUUGGACAUGCAACCCCCCCCCUUAACCCACUAAAAUGCACACCCCU
rnacentral:rRNA from 1 species